UACGGGGGGGGCAAGCGUUGUUCGGAAUUACUGGGCGUAAAGGGCGCGUAGGCGGCCUGUUAAGUCGAACGUGAAAUCCCCAGGCUCAACCUGGGAACUGCGUCCGAUACUGGCAGGCUUGAAUCCGGGAGAGGGAUGCGGAAUUCCAGGUGUAGCGGUGAAAUGCGUAGAUAUCUGGAGGAACACCGGUGGCGAAGGCGGGUCUCUGGGCCGAAACUGACGCUGAGGAGCGAAAGCGUGGGGAGCAAACAGG
rnacentral:rRNA from 1 species